AGCAAAUCUGUACCCGGCUGGCACAGUGUGUCAUCAUGCUCGAACGCCGCCGCUGCUGCUGCUGCUACUGAUGUCCACUUGAUGACUCUGCCCCGCCCAUGUUGGCCUCAUCAACGAUGUACAAACAAGAAGAGAUAGGCAACUCACCAAAAGCCCUCAGUUGUCAUGGAACCAAGGCUGGAGAACAAAAGAUGGACGCGGCUAUGGCGGAGCGCAAUGGGGGUUGAUGGAAACAUGGGAGGGGAGCAGGAAAUUGCAAGAAAACAGGAUUAAGGUCAUUUUUCAUCCAUUAUCUAAAAGCAAUCCACAACAUAUGCUUCUGUGGUUGCUACCUGCCUGGACUUUAGAGCAUUUGCAUUGUGCUACAUUCGUGACGGAUGACACACAAACGCACCGCCCAUGUUUCUGCAGCUGAGCCCCUCACAUUACCUCACAUUACUUUCGUGUGGCUAAAUAACACUCGUCGCGCUUAUUGACUGGUUGCUUGCAUUUAUAUCCAACCUUUCGCAUGAGGAGAGUCCAAUGUCACACAUGAGAACGGGCAGCAGAAAAAGCAUCAUUACCGGGUCCACGUUUAAUCCGUUCCGCGGCCACGCGCUUACCUCAAAAUGCUCAAAUCAUCUUUCCCCAUUGAAAUGAAAGUAAAUGCCUUUAAUCUGUUCCAUUCUCCCAAAACAACAACAA